AUCCAUCUGACGAAUCCUAAAUAGGACGAAAUAUCUCUUGUCCUGGAU
rnacentral:hammerhead_ribozyme from 1 species